GCUGAGGAGUCCCACAAUAGGACGAAACGGCCGUCC
rfam:Schistosoma haematobium scaffold214_10, whole genome shotgun sequence.